rnacentral:rRNA from 1 species
UACGAAGGGGGCUAGCGUUGCUCGGAAUCACUGGGCGUAAAGCGCACGUAGGCGGAUUGCUAAGUCAGGGGUGAAAUCCUGGAGCUCAACUCCAGAACUGCCUUUGAUACUGGCGAUCUCGAGUCCGGGAGAGGUGAGUGGAACUGCGAGUGUAGAGGUGAAAUUCGUAGAUAUUCGCAAGAACGACCAGUGGCGAAGGCGGCUCACGUG